GACGAACGCUGGCGGCGUGCUUAACACAUGCAAGUGGAGCGACGAACCAGGCUUCGGGCCUGGGGCAGAGCCGCGAACGGGUGAGUAACACGUGGGUAACCUGCCCUGAUGAUCGGGACAACCCGGGGAAACCCGGGCUAAUACCGAAUGUGCCCGCGAGCCGCAAGGCUUGCGAGGAAAGGAAGCUUCGGCCUCCGCAUCGGGAUGGGCCCGCGGCCCAUUAGCUUGUUGGUGGGGUAACGGCCUACCAAGGCAGCAAUGGGUAGCUGGUCUGAGAGGACGAUCAGCCACACUGGGACUGAGACACGGCCCAGACUCCUACGGGAGGCAGCAGUGGGGAACCUUGCGCAAUGCGCGAAAGCGUGACGCAGCAACGCCGCGUGGGGAAGACGGCCUCGGU
rnacentral:rRNA from 1 species